AGUUCGACAAGACUAUGAGACUUUGUCAUGAGGAAUGACGAGUGGCCCAGAUUCGUUUCUGGUCUAGAAAUUGAAUUUCGGACCAGGCUUCAUUCCCCUUGGCACGGUUCCAUGGAGGUACUGUCA
rnacentral:pre_miRNA from 1 species